AGUGGAACAUUGAACAACUCAACAGGAACUUACAUCGCAGAGGCCCGGGGCAUUGGCACAUCUUCUCCCCGCAAGGACUGAGGGUGAGCUUGCUAUCCUUGUGGCACAGGGCCUUUUGCAUUGUGGAUGAUGGAGCGGCUCGUAUAGUCCAUAAGUUUUGUGCGUAGCUGUGUACCCUGUCCCUGUGAGCUGGUUCUGCCCGGCACCUCGGUGACCUCGAGGAAAGAAGCUGAGAGACAGAGUCUUGCUUUGUCACCCAGGCUGGAGGGCAGUGGCACCAUCAUAGCUCACUGCAGACUCGAACUCCUGGGCUCAAGGGAUCCUCCUGCCUCGGCCUCCAAAAAUGGUGAGAUUAUGGACAUGAGACACUGCACUGGGCCUAUUGUGUAUCUUGUUGGCCUAAAAUUGAAACAUGCCUUGUGAGCGUUUACUGCAACUUCAAUGAGUGAUUAUUAUGUUGCCUUUAAUCCUGAGAGACUGUAUUACUUGUGCACUUUUUUUUUUUUUGGAUAGGGGGAAAUUAGAUUUAUUCCCUAUAUGUUUUAGAAAAUUGAAGUUUUAAAUAUCAGACUCACUAGCUGCCCUGAUUUAAUCUGUUACAAUUAAGUCAGUUAAAAAACUCCUCCUUGGCCGGGCAUGGUGGCUCACACCUGUAAUCCCAGCACUUUGGAAGGCCAAGGUGGGCAAAUC
rnacentral:lncRNA from 1 species